AAAGGUCACUCCAACUGAGAGUGUUUACGGUUCUUCUACAUGUAAAUUACUCUAGGGGUUGAUUGUUUGCCUAUGGCAUACUUGUACUAAAAAAUAAUUUAUGAAUUAUAUACAUGUUCUUAGCAUUCUAAAAGUCAAGGCUGAAAAAUGAACUACGAUAAAAAAAACUCAAAAUAUACUUCAAAUUUAAUUUUAAAAGUUAAAUUUUGCAUAUAAGCAUAAAGCAUAAGCGAAAAGAUGGGUCUUUUGGAGACCGGAGAGUUCUAAG
rnacentral:lncRNA from 1 species